rnacentral:rRNA from 1 species
AUGAAGAAGAAGGGUGUUAGCAUUGUUGCAUUGUGGGAAAGAGCUUCAAAGGCAAAUAAAAGAACUUCCACAUCUACACCAAAUCCUCCUGAUGUUGAAGUUGAGAGCAGCAGCAUUCCUCCUACUAUUGAGAGCAAUCUGCAACUGGCACUAGUGCAAGCAUAUGAACCGGAUGAUAGUCACACAGAACCUGAGAGUGGCUCCCCAGCCCCAAUUGUAGAAGAUGAUAAAGCAAAUGAUGAAGUUCAAUUUGAAGUAGAUUUGGAAGCACUUGAGCCAGUUCCCAGGAAACGGAUCCCCAUCUCUAGGUACAUGUCAAUGACCAGGAUAAAGUUAGAAGGAGAUACAUCGAGUUGGGGCCAUGUCAACCAAAGAAACAUAAUUUUGAGUACAGAGACAUAA